GACGAACCGUGCGAACGUUGUUCGGAAUCACUGGGCUUAAAGGGCGCGUAGGCGGUCCACCAAGUCAGGGGUGAAAUCCUUCGGCUUAACCGGAGAAGUGCCUUUGAUACUGGUGGACUCGAGUGAGGUAGGGGUAGAUGGAACUGAGGGUGGAGCGGUGAAAUGCGUAGAUAUCCGGAGGAACACCGGUGGCGAAGGCGGCUUCCUGGACCGACACUGACGCUGAGGCGCGAAAGCUAGGGGAGCAAACGGG
rnacentral:rRNA from 1 species